CUCACCCCGCGUUUUUCUUUUUCCCCUGUUGUCAUCUACGAUCUACCCCAUCUCUUUAGCUCUCAUAAAGGUAUAUGAAGCCCUAUCUUUUCUUUGUGUAAUCCCAACAAUUGAGAGAAAGAAGAAGGUGUGGUGGUGGUUGGUGUUGAUGUUGAUGAAGACGACCGUCACCAACUUUGAUUUUGUUAACAAUCCAUUUCUCUUCCAAAUCGAGAAGAUGUUUCCUGUAACAAGGUUCUUCAUCAGGUUCAUCAACUCAGAAAACGCCUUUAAUUUCCAAAUUGAUCAAUGGAACCCAUUGAUUUAAGAAUCGAAAGACUCCCUAAAUGAUCGCUUUGUUAAAACAAUGUUGACUUGGCCUCUGGCCAAUUUGCACCUGAAUUGGAGGCUUUUUGCCAUAUUUCUUACAUGUAUCAAUGAUUUAGAGGUGCUUGAAAACUUCGGUUUUGUUUUUUUCUAGGAUUGCGUUUUCUGGGUUUUGAGGCUCUUAAAAGCAUCGAUGAACACACAAUCAAAGCUUAUAUUAGUUCAAAGUUUGGUUUAAUUCUUUUGAGUUUUCUGUUGUGCCUUGAAAUUUCAUUAACUGAUUGGAUUAAAGGGAGGGUAACAAGUUCACGGAUUCAAAGUGUAGUUUCCUGCAACAAGUUCAUAGCUCUCUUUCACUGUUUUGAUUUGCAGGUGUCCGUGUCUAUCAUUGUUUGUAUGUGUAUGUAUGUUGAAGAAGAUGAACACGAAAAACGAAUUCAGUUUCA